AUUUUGACCCGGCAGGCAGGUACCACGAAUACAAAGGUGGUUUUCCCAGGGCGAGGCUUAUCUAUUGCACCCUGUAUUUGCUGACCCCUGCGAUUUCCCCUAAUGCCGGUAAUCUCCCGAUUUUGUGCUUCAAAGUUAGACUCUAAGUAUGUACUCU